rnacentral:rRNA from 1 species
GGGCCCGCACAAGCGGUGGAGCAUGUGGUUUAAUUCGAUGCAACGCGAAGAACCUUACCAGGGCUUAAAUGGGAAAUGACAGGGGCAGAGACGCCCCCUUCUUCGGACCACUUACAAGGUGCUGCAUGGUUGUCGUCAGCUCGUGCCGUGAGGUGUCAGGUUAAGUCCUAUAACGAGCGCAACCCCUGUUGUUAGUUGCCAGCGAGUCAUGUCGGGAACUCUAACGAAACUGCCAGUGCAAACUGUGAGGAAGGUGGGGAUGACGUCAAAUCAUCACGGCCCUUACGUCCUGGGCUACACACGUGCUACAAUGGCCGGUACAGAGAGCAGCCACUUCGCAAGAAGGAGCGAAUCUAUUAAAACCGGUUCAGUUCGGAUCGGAGUCUGCAACUCGACUCCGUGAAGCUGGAAUC